UUUAAGCAGGUACUCAUAACACUAUUUUGUGCUAUCAUCGACAAAAAAUAAUAAAGUACUUUUUGCUACUUCUUGUUUGUACAAAUUUUAAAUCAUAGAUGUCACUAUGAAUUAAAUCAAGUGGUUCUAUAUUUCAUUCAAUUAAUUUUGGAUUUCAAUUAGUAUUAGAGCUUGUACUCUCCUUCAAAAAAUUUUACAAUCUUGAGUAAUGGCUAACCAAGUUUUUCAAAAUUUUGAGGGGCACUCCACAAACCGACCUCCUUUCUUUAAUGACACAUACUAUAAUUAUUGGAAAGUUAGGAUGAUGCUAUAUAUUCAAUCAAUUGAUUAUAACAUUUGGGAAGUUAUUGAAUACAGUCCCAAUGUGCCUACCAAGACUAACAAAAUAGAUGGGAGACCAUAUGAAACUAUCCCUAAGCCUAAAGAGGAAUAUGAUGAAGAAGAUAAGAAAAAAUUAUCGUUAAAUGUCAAAGCUAAGAAUCUACUUUAUUGUGCACUAGAUAGAAAUGAAUUUAAUCGAAUUAGCACAUGUGAAUCGGCAUGAUGUUUGGCAUGCACUAGAAGUCACUUAUGUUGGCAUGAGCAAGGUUAAGGAAACAAAAAUAAAUUUGUUAGUUAAAGAAUUCGAAAAUUUCUUCAUGAAACAAGAUAAGCUUAUUGUUGAUAUGAUUACACGUUUUACCAAUAUUGUGAAAAGACUUAAAGGUUUUGAUCGUAAAUUUACUAACGAUGAACUUGUUAGCAAAAUGCUUAGGUUCUUAAUGGAGGAAUGUAGCCCGUUGAGGAUGUUGAUUGAGAAUACCAAGGAUAUAAAUACAUAUCCUUUGAAGGAGCUCUACGAUACAUUAAUAACCUAUAAACUCAAUAAUGCCGAGGUCAAGGAGAAAACAAGAAAAAGCAAGGAAGAAUCAAAGGAGCCCCUCAAAUGACAAAUUUCCUCAAAAUCAAAAAUUGAAGAAGGAACAUCAAAGGAAAAAUGAGCAAUGAAGGGCCUAACGAUUUAGUUCUUCUAGUCAAAAAAUGAAGAGGUCUUCGUAAUAAUCCAAGAUUUCAAAGGAGGAAAAAUGGUGAAGAAAGAAGCAAGAAGAUUAUUUGCUAUGAUUGUGAUAAUUCCGAUCACAAAAGAAUCAAGUGCCUGAACAAAAAGAAAAAUUUCAAGAAAAAAGCACUUCAAGCUACUUGUGCUUCAUGGCGAUCGAAGACUAGGUAAGCGUAAAUGAAAAAUGUUCUUAUGAUGAGUUAUCAAAUUCAUAUGAUGAAAUGUUUGAAAAUUUUGAAAAACUUGCCUUGAGUCACUCCAUUCUUAAAAAAAAGAAUUCUUUGUUAAAAGAUGAAAUAAAGAAAAUUUUGGAAAAACAAAAAGAAAAAGUUGAUCAUGAUUAUUAGUGAAGGAGAACAUUUCACUAAAAGAAAAAGUGGAAGAUUUAACGAAAAUUAUUCAUAAAUUCAUCGAGGGAAAGAAAAUUUUGAUUUAAUACUCAGUAGUCAGAAUGCGUUUUUGAUAAAGGGAAAAUUGGAUAUAAAAACUCUUUAAAACAAAAAUAUCUCAAAAAUAUGUUCAUUAAAACUUCAAACACUACAUGUAGUUUUUGUAAUAAAAGUGGACAUGUAGCAUUUAAUUGUCUAGCUAAAAGAAGCUAUCUUUUGAAAACAAGUAUAAGUGGAUUCGAGAGUUUACAAAAACUAACUACCAAGGACCCAAGUUUUCAUGGGUACCAAAAAUCAAAAAUUGAAUUGUUCUUUUAGGAACUAAAGAAAAUAAGAAACAAAUGGUUCUUAGAUAGCUGUUGUUCGAAACACAUGACUGGAGAUUGAUCCUUGCUAUCGAACUUCAAAAAUAAGGAUGGAAGCCACGUAACCUUCGGAGACAACACCAAAGGCAAAAUUAUUGGCAUUGGAAACAUCGGUAAUUGCUCAUCCUACCAAUUGAAAAUGUCUUACUAGUUGAUAACCUUAAACAUAAUUUACUAAGUAUUAGUUAAUUAUGUGAUAAAGGUUAUAAUAUAAAAUUUGAUUCUUCCAAAUGUCUUAUUGAGGAUGCUACACCAAAAGAUGUGAUUUUCGUAGAAAACUGAAGUAAAGAUGUUUAUAUUAUGAACAUUGAAUUUGAAAAUAAAUGAAAAUUGUUUACUUAGUGUGAAAGAAGAAUCAUGGCUAGGGCAUAGAUUAGAGCAUGUUAGCAUGAUCUUCUUUAGAAAAUUUCCAAAAAAUUAUUUUGUAAAAGGUUUACCAAAUUUAAAAUUUGAAAAAGAUAAAAUUUGUGAUGCUUGUCAAUUUGAAAAACAAGUAAAAAAUUCUUUCAAGCCUGAACUUCAUGUUUCAACUACUAAACCAUUACAACUUCUCCACAUAAAUCUUUUUGGACCUUUUGGGACAGCUAGCUUAAGUGGUAAACAUUACGCCUUUGUUAUAGUUAGCGACUUUUCAAGAUUUACUUGUGUUGUAUUUUUGAGUUUGAAAGAAUAAGCCUUAAAGCUUUUAAAUAUUUUUGUAAGAAAGUUGAAAAUGAAAGAAAAAAAAAAGGUUACUCUAUUACAAUUAUUAGAAGUGAUCAUGGUGGAGAAUUUGAUAAUGUUGGCUUUGAUGACUUUUGUAAUGAUCAUGAAUAUGAACAUAAUUUUUUGGCUCCUAGAACUCAAAAAAAUGGUGCAGUAAAAAGGAAGAAUCGUAUAUUGCAAAAAAUUGCUAGGACCAUGCUAAAUAAAAAUAAUUUGCCAAAAUAUUUUUGGGCCAAAGCCGUGAACACUGCUUGCUACAUCGUCAAUGGAGUUUUAGUAAGUAAAAACAAAACUAAAACUCCUUUCGAACUUUGGAAAAAUAGAAUUCCAAAUCUUAGUUAUUUUAAAGUUUUUGGAUGUAAAAUGCUUUAUUUUGAAUACAAAAGAUAAUUUGGGAAAAUUUGAUUCAAAAUCCGAUGUAAUAAUUUUGCCAGGAUAUUCAUCGACUAGCAAUGCAUAAAGAGUUUUUAACAAACGAACUCUAGUCGUUGAAGAAUUCAUGCAUGUUACUUUUGAUGAGACUAACUCUUUUGAUUGAGAGAAAGAUAGUGAUGACGAUAUAGGUUUGGAAGCUCCAUUUGAACAAAUGAAGAUUCAAAACCAAAGCAAUGAGGCACCAAAUGAAGAACAAAAGGAGGAAUCAAAUGAAGAAAAACAAACCGUGGCACAAAGUGAUUGCUCAUUACCAAAAGAAUGGAGAUUUGUUCCAUCUCAUCCUAAGGAGGUAUUAUCAUAGGUGAUCCAUCAAAAUGUAUCACUACUAAAACUUCUUACAAAAAUCAUCUCGGUAGUUGUGUAUUUAUUUCUCAAAUCAAAUCUAAAAAUUUCAAAGAAACCGAGUUUGAUGAGUUUUGGAUUCUAGUGAUGCAAGAAGAAUUAAAUCAAUUUGAAAAAAAAAACAUAUUUGGUACUUAGUCGCUAGACCAAACCAUCAAAUCACUAUUGGUACUAAAUGGAUUUUUAGAAACAAAAGAGAUAAAAAUGGAAUAAUUGUGCGUAACAAAGCUAGAUUGGUGACCCAAGGUUACAAUAAAAAAGACUGUAUUGAUUUUGAAGAAACAUUUGCACCCGUAACUAGACUAGAAUCCAUUCACUUGCUUAUUGCAUUUGCAUAUUAUAAAGAUUUUACACUUUAUCAAAUGAAUGUUAAAAGUACAUUUCUAAUUGAAUUUAUUCAAAAAGAAUUUUUUGUUGAGCAGCCUCUCAAUUUAAAGAUCAUAAGUAUUCGGAUCAUGUGUUUAAACUUAGAAAAGCUCUUUACAAUUUGAAACAAGCUCCAAGAGUUUGGUAUGAACGUUUGAGCAAAUUUUUUCUUUUAAAUGAUUUUUCAAUUGAAAAGCAGAUACUACAUUUUUUGUAAAAACUCAUAAGAAAGAUAUGCUUAUUGUUCAAAUUUAUGUUGAUGACAUUAUUUUUGGUACCACAAACAUCCAUCUUUGCAAAGCGUUUUCAAGUUGUAGUAACUAGACUAGAAUCCAUUCACUUGCUUAUUGCAUUUGCAUAUUAUAAAGAUUUUACACUUUAUCAAAUCAAUGUUAAAAGUACAUUUCUAAUUGAAUUUAUUCAAAAAGAAUUUUUUGUUGAGCAGCCUCUCAAUUUAAAGAUCAUAAGUAUUCGGAUCAUGUGUUUAAACUUAGAAAAGCUCUUUACAAUUUGAAACAAGCUCCAAGAGUUUGGUAUGAACGUUUGAGCAAAUUUUUUCUUUUAAAUGAUUUUUCAAUUGAAAAGCAGAUACUACAUUUUUUCUAAAAACUCAUAAGAAAGAUAUGCUUAUUGUUCAAAUUUAUGUUGAUGACAUUAUUUUUGGUACCACAAACAUCCAUCUUUGCAAAGCGUUUUCAAAUUGUAUGAGUAAAGAAUUUGAAAUGAGCAUGAUAGAACUAAAAUUCUUCAUUGGACUUCAAGUUAAACAAACAAAAGAUGAUAUUUUCAUAAAUCAAAAUAAGUACAUAUUAGACAUGCUUAAAAGAUUUGAUAUACAUGAUCUUAAGCUUAUGAACACACCCAUGAACACGUCUCUAAAGCUUGACAAAGAUGAGCAUUACACUCUGGUUGAGGUCACAAAAUAUUGAGGUAUGAUCAGAUCCUUUCUUUAUUUGACUACUAGUAGGCCUGAUAUUACGUUUAGUGUAUGCAUAUGUGUUAGAUUUCAAUCUAAUCCUAAGGAAACACAUUUACGUGUCGUAAAAAGAAUUUUUCGAUUUCUUAGUGGAACUAGAACCUUAGGACUUUGGUAUCCAAAAGAGACUCACAUUGAUCUAAUUAGUUAUUCGGAUGAUGAUUGGACCAGAUGUAAUGUUGAUCGUAAAAACACUAGCGAAAAUUGUCAAUUUCUAGGCUUUUGCACUUGUGUCUUCGUCUAGUAAGCAACAAAAUUCCAUUACACUAUCCACCACCGAGGCGGAAUACAUUUCGGUUGCUAGUUGUUGUGCACAAACACUUUGGAUGAAACCAACUCUUUGCGAUUAUUACUUAUCUUAUGCUCAUAGGCCUAUUUUGUGUGAUAACAUUAGUGCCAUCAAUCCCGUUUUGCAUUCACGAACUAAGCAUAUUGAAAUAUGACACCACUUUCUUAGAGAUCAUGCACAAAAGGGAGAUAUCAUGUUAGAAUUUGUAAAAACCAAGGACCAAUUAGCCGACAUCUUCACUAAACCUCUAGCACACAAUUGAUUUUCCCAUAUUCGAAGAGGUUUAGGAAUUACUGAUGAAAAUAAAGUGGAAUAAAUUCAAUCUUUCCAAUCACGUAUGUUUUACAAUUUUUUAAAAUAAUUUUUGAAUUACCCUACUUUAAAAAAAAUCCUUCAGACGAUAAAGUCUAGACAGUUCAACAUUGUCCGGAUUGACAGAGAGUUCAAACCAUUGAAUCUUUGUUGAUCCGGACAUCCAGAUCAUAUUCCAGACAUCCAGAUGAGAGGAAAAUCAGGUGUUCAUAAACACGAACAGCCUCUUCGUCUCUCAUUUUUUCUUCUCACCUUCCUUGAAUUUUUCUCAAUCUCCUCUCACCAUGUCAUUGACAUUGCUUAUCGGUCUACCUUCAAUUCCAAAUUGCCACAAGAUUAUAGGUUUCAAAAUCACAUUUUUUUCUCAAAAAUCAUUCAAUUUUGUGUAUAUAUCCCCAAAUAUCACUCCACUCGAACCUGUCAUUUAGUUUGGGUAUUCUUGCACAAUUCAUUCACUAAUUCAUAGGAUUUCAAAGGCCCCAUCACCACUCAUCAAGAUAUUUGAAACUCUUCUAAAAAAUUUGAAUUUUACUGGUGAAGAUUGAACCCCUCGAAUUCAAAAUUUGGGGCUUUUGAGUUUCUCCUUAAUUCUUCACAAUGUCGGGAUCUCAACAAGGAAGAAGGGCAAAAAGAAUUACGAGACAACCUCCUUCACCACCUUCGGAAGAAUAAAUGGACUUGGAGCCGGAGGGGCCACUGAAUCCUUUCGAAAAAUCACCCAUUUUAAUUGGUGAGAUUGUUGAUUUUGCUGAUUUUUCUAUAGAUAUUCCAGCAUUUCAAAUUAAAGAAUGUUUUGAACGUAUGGGAUGGGUAUCCAUGGCAACAAUGGAAGAGCAUGCAUACCUACACCUUAUGAAAGAAUUUUAUCAAAAGAUGCACGUUGCACCUCAUUUCGAUGAGAUUACAUGUUUAGUAAAAAAAUGUGUGCAUUACGAUUUCUAAGGCUUCAAUUCGUGAUAUUAUCGUGAAGUCACCGGGAAGGAUUUUGAGAAUAUUACAAAAUUGAGUGCGCAUCAAUUAAUUCUUCCAUGUAAAGUUUUAAAAAACAUUAUCGCCCAUAUUAUUUUUCCUCGUAAUGGUCACCGAGACUAAGUUAAUCACUUCGGUCUCUUUAUUAUGGAUUUACUUUUAGUUGGCCAUCGAAUUGAUUUUCCUACAAUUGCAUUAGGACUUAUGAAGCUUGUGCAUGCAUCACAACACGUUAAAACUUGACCUUAUGGGAUGCUUCUAACAAAAUUUUUUGAACACUUUAAUGUUUUUUCGAUGGAGAAGAUUUUGUUAAGUUACACCCUACCGAUACUAUCAACAUCCAAACACUAAAAAGAAUGAAGAUAGUAAAAGAACGAGGGCAAUGAGUAGCUCACACGAAAGGAUUCGAUCCUACCUUUGGUCCAUCUACUUUGCUUUUCGAAGAAGAAGUCAAAGACGAGCCUGAAGCACCUACUCCCGCUUCUGACAUUUUUAGCUCUAAUGCACCCCGUUCUUUUGGAAGGCACUUCAUAUUUACUGAGGAGCAGUAUAAUCUCCUUCAUAGGCGUAUUGGUUCCCCCACCUCGUCCAUCGACUUCUUUGUAGCCUACUUUUUCAGAUACAGGCAAAGCAAACCAUUAUCCAGGACCGACAGGCCGAAAUGCAAGAGUAACAAAAUGCAUUCUUCGCGAAUUUUUAUGCUCGCUUCCCAACUCCGACGCCCUAGUUUAUUGCUAUACUUUCAUUUGCUAGAUGUUACUUUAUUGUCCAACUAUAAAAUUCAAUUAUUGCGCUUUUGUGUUAUUCGGCUGCAUGGCAUAUUAUGUAUUGAAUGUCCUAUGGUUGACUUCUUUAUGACUUUCAUUUGUGCUAUUAUCUCUUUUUGCUUAUGCCAAAAGGGGAAGGAUAAAGUAGAUGAUUAUGCAAAGCAGGAGGAACAUUGUAAAGGGAAACUUGUAAAAUCUUAUGAACAUUGUAAAGGGGAAACUUAAAAUUUUUAUAUACAUGUAGAUAGGGGGCACUUAAGUGAAAUCAAUAGGGGGAAUAUAAUUGCUAUAUUCAAAUUUCAUGUUCCUUGCCCAAUUCAAUUUGUUUACUAUUUAUAUUGCAAAUUCUUUUGUUUGUCAUAAUCAAAAAGGGGAAAAUUGUUCACCUAAUGGUUGACUUCUCAUUUUGAUUAUAACAAAGAAAUUGCAUUUAAUUCUAACAAAUUGAAUUUGAGUGUUGAUAGUGAUUACUAUGAAAUCAACAAAGAAUGAAGAAAUGAGAAUCAAGAUCAAGAUUCAUGCAUAUAGUUAUGUAGGCAAAUUUCUGUAUCCAGUAUCUUUUCCGAUUUUCUUGAAAUUUGUUUUAUGUUUCUCUGAAAUUUUUAAAUAAGCUAUAAUGUCAUUUCUUGUAGGCAAAUUUUUCAGUCUGUUUUUUCUUCUGAUUUUCUUGAAAUGUCGUAUCAAUUCUUUCUGCACUGUGAAUGAUCUCACAAUUUGUGUUCUCUCUGGAGUUCUCCAUUAUGAUCUAACGAUAUAAGAAUCGUCCUAAUUCUAUCUGCUCUUCUUGUUAUGUUUUCAGGGCAUAUCAGGGUUGAUGUGUACAUGAUUUAUUUCAAUCUGGAGAUUAUUUUAGCUAAAUUUAAAAAGUUCAACAGAGGAAUUUCAUGGGCUGUAGCUAGUUUGAAAUUGAAUCAUCCAAUUUUUUCUGAUGAUAAUGCUAGCAUUCAUCUGCACACAGUUUUUAAGCAAAAUAAGCUAUAUUUCCAUCGUUAAACCUUUGAAAUGAAGAUAAGUUGCAUCCAAAAACAAAACCUGUAGAAGCAGAAGCUGAUGUUUUAUUAAUUAAUACCAUAAGCAUUAACUUUUCUUUACAAAGUAACCAUUUUUAGGUAAACAGUGCAUGAAAUCUGGUUAGUGUGAUUCUGCAGGAGCCAUGGCAUCGCCAGUACUCUCUUCUGGCAUAUUGGAUGCAGGUGAAUUCAUGUGUGCAUGGUGACUGAAGUACAUGGUGAAUCCAGGACAACCAUAGGGAUUGCCACAGUUCAUUGGUCGGCAGUGGUAAUUCGGCGGAGGAACCCAUGGUCCUUCUCCAUAUCCUGGUGGACUGCCUCCAUCAUUGCCCCCUGAACCGGAACCAAAUCCACCACCGAACCCAAAUCCACCACCAUUUCCUCCGACCGGGAUGCCAUAACCCGGAGCACCAACUCCUGGGAUACCAAAAUUUGGGACACCAAAACUUGGUACGCCUCCAACCCAGCCACCACCACCUCCUCCUCCGCCUCCAUUGCUAAUGCCCCCAUUAUUGCCAUUUCCACUUCCACUGCCACUCCCACUUCCAUAACCACCAGCAGAUCCAACUACCGGGGCACCACCAAAAGUCGGGGUGCUCACAAAACCGCCCCCGCCUCCCCCUCCACCUCCAUUACUUAAAACGUGGCCGUUCCAUGCAUGCUCAGUAUCAGUAAUGUCCUCCAUGCUGCGAACGAUGCGGU
rnacentral:lncRNA from 1 species